GAUGAACGCUGGCGGCGUGCCUAAUACAUGCAAGUCGAGCGAACAGACGAGGAGCUUGCUCCUCUGACGUUAGCGGCGGACGGGUGAGUAACACGUGGAUAACCUACCUAUAAGACUGGGAUAACUUCGGGAAACCGGAGCUAAUACCGGAUAAUAUAUUGAACCGCAUGUUUCAAUAGUGAAAGACGGUUUUGCUGUCACUUAUAGAUGGAUCCGCGCCGCAUUAGCUAGUUGGUAAGGUAACGGCUUACCAAGGCAACGAUGCGUAGCCGACCGGAGAGGGUGAUCGCCCACACUGGAAGUGAGAAACGGCCAAGACUCCUACGGGAGGAAGCAGAAGGGAAUCUUCCGCAAGGGGGGAAAGCCUGACGGAGCAACGCGGGGUGAGUGAUGAAGGUCUUCGGAUCGUAAAACUCUGUUAUUAGGGAAGAACAAAUGUGUAAGUAACUAUGCACGUCUUGACGGUACCUAAUCAGAAAGCCACGGCUAACUACGUG
rnacentral:rRNA from 1 species